rnacentral:rRNA from 1 species
CGCGGCCUAUCAGCUUGUUGGUGGGGUAAUGGCCUACCAAGGCGACGACGGGUAGCCGGCCUGAGAGGGCGACCGGCCACACUGGGACUGAGACACGGCCCAGACUCCUACGGGAGGCAGCAGUGGGGAAUAUUGCACAAUGGGCGAAAGCCUGAUGCAGCGACGCCACGUGAGGGAUGACGGCCUUCGGGUUGUAAACCUCUUUCAGCAGGGAAGAAGCGAAAGUGACGGUACCUGCAGAAGAAGCGCCGGCUAACUACGUGCCAGCAGCCGCGGUAAUACGUAGGGCGCAAGCGUUGUCCGGAAUUAUUGGGCGUGAAGAGCUCGUAGGCGGCUUGUCACGUCGGAUGUGAAAGCCCGAGGCUUAACCUCGGGUCUGCAUUCGAUACGGGCUAGCUAGAGUGUGGUAGGGGAGAUCGGAAUUCCUGGUGUAGCGGUGGAAUGCGCAGAUAUCAGGAGGAACACCAAUGGCGAAGGCAGGACUCUGGGCCAUUACUGACACUGAGGAGCGAAAGCGUGGGGAGCGAACAGGAUUAGAUACCCUGGUAGUCCACGCCGUAAACGGUGGGCACUAGUUGUGGGGACCUUCCACGGUCUCCGCGACGCAGCUAACGCAUUAAGUGCCCCGCCUGGGGAGUACGG